rfam:Human gut metagenome DNA, contig sequence: In-M_012828.
GAAAACUAAAUGGGUGAAAUUUGAAAGAAGGGGUAAACCCCUAAAAGUUACUUUAAUUCUCCCGGCGGCUGGGAAUGGGUUAACAUUAAAUUUCAAAAGCCCGGGGAAUCUGGCAAAGAAAUUCCUUAAACAAUGUAGUGGACGAAACCUUUCCAAAGGGGGAUGGUGGUUUCCAUUAGCCCGGGAUUUUAAAA